UACGAAGGGGGCUAGCGUUGUUCGGAAUCACUGGGCGUAAAGGGCGCGUAGGCGGCUUUAUAAGUCGGGGGUGAAAUCCUGGAGCUCAACUCCAGAACUGCCUUCGAUACUGGAAAGCUCGAGUCCGGGAGAGGUGAGUGGAACUGCGAGUGUAGAGGUGAAAUUCGUAGAUAUUCGCAAGAACACCAGUGGCGAAGGCGGCUCACUGGCCCGGUACUGACGCUGAGGUGCGAAAGCGUGGGGAGCAAACAGG
rnacentral:rRNA from 1 species